UGGGGAAUCUUAGACAAUGGGCGCAAGCCUGAUCUAGCCAUGCCGCGUGAGUGAAGAAGGCCUUAGGGUCGUAAAGCUCUUCGCUGGGGAAGAUAAUGACUGUACCCAGUAAAGAAACCCCGGCUAACUCCGUGCCAGCAGCCGCGGUAAUACGGAGGGGGUUAGCGUUGUUCGGAAUUACUGGGCGUAAAGCGCGCGUAGGCGGAUUAGAAAGUUAGGGGUGAAAUCCCAGGGCUCAACCCUGGAACUGCCUCUAAAACUCCUAGUCUUGAGGUCGAGAGAGGUGAGUGGAAUUCCGAGUGUAGAGGUGAAAUUCGUAGAUAUCGGGAGGAACACCAGUGGCGAAGGCGGCGACCUGGACGGACACUGACGCUGAGACGCGAAAGCGUGGGGAGCAAACAGGAUUAGAUACCC
rnacentral:rRNA from 1 species